rnacentral:tRNA from 1 species
GGGCCCAUAGCUCAGCUGGUAGAGCGUCUGGCUGGCAGCCAGAAGGUCAGGGGUUCGAAUCCCCUUGGGUCCA